rnacentral:rRNA from 1 species
UACGUAGGAGGCGAGCGUUGUCCGGAAUUACUGGGUGUAAAGCGCGCGUAGGUGGGAGGCCAAGUCUGUGGUGAAAGCGCCCGGCUCAACUGGGCAGAGUCCAUGGAAACUGGUCACCUGGAGGACGGUAGAGGCGAGUGGAAUUCCCGGUGUAGUGGUGAAAUGCGUAGAGAUCGGGAGGAACACCAGUGGCGAAGGCGGCUUCCUGGCCUGUUCUUGACGCUGAGGCGCGAAAGCUAGGGUAGCAAACGGG